GAUGAACGCUGGCGGCGUGCCUAAUACAUGCAAGUCGAGCGAACGGACGAGAAGCUUGCUUCUCUGAUGUUAGCGGCGGACGGGCGAGUAACACGUGGAUAACCUACCUAUAAGACUGGGAUAACUUCGGGAAACCGGAGCUAAUACCGGAUAAUAUUUUGAACCGCAUGGUUCAAAAGUGAAAGACGGCCUUGCUGUCACUUAUAGAUGGAUCCGCGCUGCAUUAGCUAGUUGGUAAGGUAACGGCUUACCAAGGCAACGAUGCAUAGCCGACCUGAGAGGGUGAUCGGCCACACUGGAACUGAGACACGGUCCAGACUCCUACGGGAGGCAGCAGUAGGGAAUCUUCCGCAAUGGGCGAAAGCCUGACGGAGCAACGCCGCGUGAGUGAUGAAGGUCUUCGGAUCGUAAAACUCUGUUAUUAGGGAAGAACAUAUGUGUAAGUAACUGUGCACAUCUUGACGGUACCUAAUCAGAAAGCCACGGCUAACUACGUG
rnacentral:rRNA from 1 species